AGAACGAACGCUGGCGGCAUGCCUAACACAUGCAAGUCGAACGCUCCUGGGGCUUCGGUCUCAGGGGAGUGGCGCACGGGUGAGUAGCGCGUGGGAACCUGCCCUGUUGUGGGGGAUAACCGAGGGAAACUUCGGCUAAUACCGCAUAAGCCGGUUGUCUUGAAAGAGAUGACCGGGAAAGAUUUAUCGCGACAGGAGGGGCCCGCGUCGGAUUAGCUAGUUGGUGGGGUAACGGCCCACCAAGGCAGUGAUCCGUAGCUGGUCUGAGAGGAUGAUCAGCCACACUGGGACUGAGACACGGCCCAGACUCCUACGGGAGGCAGCAGUGGGGAAUAUUGGACAAUGGGCGCAAGCCUGAUCCAGCCAUGCCGCGUGAGUGAUGAAGGCCCUAGGGUUGUAAAGCUCUUUUGUGCGGGAAGAUAAUGACGGUACCGCAAGAAUAAGCCCCGGCUAACUUCGUGCCAGCAGCCGC
rnacentral:rRNA from 1 species